UUGGAGCUGAAUCAUGUACAAUGCUUAGGCAUGUGCUUUUGCUUAUCAAUUUACAAUUUACAAUGGGUUUCUGGUCAGUUCCCAAACCCAUUCCCUAUUCAGUGACUCCAAAGCUGCAUCACAUUCCCAAGCAUCUUGAAAGUCUUCCUCUCCCAUUGCCCACCUGUUCUCAACAGAUAGCUUGUCUCAUACUGAGAAUAUUGAGGCUAUCAGCUGAGAACUUGUUUACUUUCCUCCUUCCCAGCCAACAAAUUGAUCUGCUUUCAAUCUCCCUCCUUCGCUGUGGUUUUAAGGCUCAUCUCUCUACCAGUCUUGUUAAUCAGAUCACCUUUCAGCUUCUUUGGAGUGGAAUCACAUCUUAAGAUGGAGAUUAGAUUCUUUAAGCAGUCCAUAGGCAAGAGUCACAUAUGGUCAGAACUACUCAGAAGUUUUAUUAAGUCACCUAUAACAGUAGGUCAAACAUAGCUUUGGGAAUACAAUUCUGUAAAGUAAUAUGUAGGUGUAAGUGUAUCCAGUAGACAGUAUUUAUAGGUGUAAGGUAUAUAUACUAUAUAAUGUAUACUAUAAUAUAUAGCAUACAAUUCUAAGGAGGGAUUAUAUGGAGAAAAUAAAUCAAGCUAGAUUUUUGAAAUACUUGAACAAAUUUAUAAAUAUUCUUUCUUUUUCUUUUUUUUCUGAGAUGGAGUCUCACUGUUGCACAGGCUGGAGUGCUGUGGCACCAUCUCAGCGCACUGCAACUUCUGCCUCCUGCUGGGUUCAAGUGAUUCUCGUGCCUCAGCCUCCUGAGUAGCCGGGACUACAGGCGUGCACCACCAUACCCAGCUACGUUUUGGAUUUUUUGGCAAAGAUGGGGUUUCACCAUGUUGGCCAGGUUGGAAAUAUUCUUAUUUCUCAUUUGGUGUCAUCACCUAAGUUUUUGUGGAUAACUUUAUGAGUUUCUCUGUAGUCUUUAGUUAGUUCUUCAAUUUCUCUUACAAGAUUGUGAUAAACCCUUUACUACCCACUAGUAUGAACAAUGCAUUUCUCUUAUUUGUGUGUGGUCAGAAAAUCCCUAAAUCAUUCAUACCUUGUUUGGUAGGUUUCACUAAAAGCCCUCUCUGUCUGCCUGUAGACAACCUCAUUGAGGGCAAUUGCCAGGUGAAUUUGAGCAUUGUUUAGAUAGUUCUUUCUCUUUUCUCUCCCUCCUGCUCCAUUAGGCAAAAAGCGUUGGCUACAUCUUAGAGCCAAAAUAGCAGUUGCUUAAAUAAGAGAGAACUUUAUUUUUUUCUCUGUUAUAAAAGAAAUCCGGAAGUAGGUGAUGCAGAGCCGUUUUGGGGGGCUCCACAGUCACCAGGGACGGGGGCUCCACAGUCACCAGGGACACAGUCCCCUCCUUUUCUGUCCUGCUAACCUGGUUUGUGGCUUUCAUCCUCAUGGCUGCUGCAGCUCCAGCCACCGUAUCCACAUUCCAGUCAGCAGGAAGAAGGACGGUGGUGUUCAGGAAAAUUACUCUAAACUUGAAAAUAAGGCGAAAGGAUGACUUCAUAUCCUGCCAAUGUAAAGCAUUGUCCAACUCCCAGUGCUUUACAUUCACUCCUGGGAAAUGCACUUCUCUUUAGGCACUAUUGAUAAGAGGACGGAAGAGUUAAAUGUUAACUUAGAAGAACUGGUUAGGCUGGGUGCAGUGGCUCAUUUUUGUAAUUCCAGCACUUUGGGAGGCCGAGGUGGGCAAUCACCUGAGGUCAGGAGUUCAAGACUAGCCUGGCCAACAUGGCUAAACACCGUCUCUACUAAAAAUAGAAAAAUUAGCUGCACAUGGUGGCAGGCGCCUGUAAUCCCAUCUACUUGGGAGGCUGAGGUAGGAGAAUCACUUGAACCCUGGGAGGCAGAGGUUGCAGUGAGCUGAGAUUGCGCCGUUGUACUCUAGCCUGAGCAAUGAGAGUGAAAUUCUGUCUAAAAAAAAAGAACUACUGAUUAGCUGCAGAUAAAAACCAGGAGAGAUGUUUUUCUAACCUUGCAGAACAUUAUUUCAGAGUUUUUGGUGUUUUUUAAAUUUGUUUGUUUGUUUCUACUGAACAUGUUUCUGUCUUACUAGCUUCCCUCAUCAACGAUUAAUUAUACUUUGGUAUGUGCUCAGAUAAUAUGUGGAAAUUAUAUUUUUAGUAUUUGUAUGCUUUGAUAGUAGGAAGGACAAACGGGCUUUCUUCAAGUCAAUAAUUUCCCAAAAUGUCCCUAAAAUGUCUGCUUGUAACUUAUUGGACAGAACUUAAUCACAAGGCUAUACAUAGCUACAAAGGAGGCUGGGGAAGCAGUCUUCUAGCUAGGUGCAGUAAAAUGACAGUUCUCUUCCUAAGGAAGGGAGGCAGAGAUCAGACAGCAGGGAAUAGUUAAUAGUCUUUGCACAAGGACAUAGAUCAACUGAUUUUGCCCCUUUUACCUGUAUCUCUGCCUUUCCCUCUAGGUUUACUAGCAGCCUAAAAGCAUAUCAGAGAACACCAAUAGCUUUAAUACCUUAGACCUGAAUCCUCCUCCAGCUAUCAGGACAACAUUCUUUUUCCCUAAUGGAGGUCCUACAAAGAACAAUCUCACUUGGCUCUGCUCUCUCACCUGCUCUUCCUUCUUCACCCACUUUCUUUUUUUGAGACCGAGUCUCACACUGUCACCGAGGCUGGAGUGCAAUGGUGUGACCUCAGCUCACUGCAACCUCCACCACGCAAGUUCAAGUGAUUCUCCUGCCUCAGCCCUCUGAGUAUCUGGGAUUAUAGGUGCCACCAUCACAUUUGGCUAAUUUUUGUAUUUUUAGUAGAGACAGGGUUUCACCAUGUUGGCUAGGCUGGUCUUGAACUUCUGACCUCACAAUCCGCAUGGGAUUACAGGUGUGAGCCAUCAUGCCUAGCCUUCACCUACUUUAAUUGGGUUUUUGUUUCUCUCAUCCACUAAACCUGCUUUGAUAGGCCGCAGCUGAUCUCCUAAACGUCACACUCAAAUUGACCGUAUCUUGCACAAAGCAAAUAUUUUAUAAAUGAUGAGUUAUUCAAUAUCUUUACUCGGUUUUCUUAUUCAUUCUUAAGACAGUAUUACUCUCUUUUCUUCUCAAUUGCAAAAAUUAAUAUUUUAGUUUCAUUAUGGGCUAACUAGGUUCUUCUGACACAUUCAUGAAAAUCUAAUUCUUAGCAUCAAUUUGAUUUUGUGCAAAAUUGCAUUCCAACUUUCGAACAAUUGGCCUAAUAGUACACUUUUGGAAAUGACCUUUUUGUAGGCCCAGGUCUGUUUAUUCAUUUUCCCCCUCCAUUGCAUAGGUAAAAGAAAUUGGCUCUUUGUUGCUAAUGAAAGCAAAUUCUACUUGGGUUUUAUCCAGAGCACAACAGCCAGUGGCAAGGAAUCCCCAAGGGAAAAACACCAAUAAGAUCCUUUCAUAAUGUGUUUUCCUCUAAUCUUCUUCCUGAUCCUUUCUCACCAAAUGGAUCUAGCUAUUUUCAAGUUCAAUUUUGCUUUAAACCAGAAAACAUGGUGUCCUAAAUUGAUACUCGCCCUCUAUACACCUCCCCCUCUUGGCCUGCCUUAUUUAUCAGGCAGGGCUCCUCUAGGUAUUUGGGGUUGGGCCUGAGGAAGCCCAGGUGAUUGGCGAUUGCCAGCAGGAUGUAGUUAUACUGCCCCAGUGUGGCAGCUUUCAUUCUACUUCAAAUGCUGCUUCAUUUUUUCUCUCAUGCUUCUUCGAGAAACGAACCCACUGUUGAGGAACAGUUUCUGAGAUCACCACUGGUCAUUAGAGAAAUACAAAUAAAACCAUUAUGAGAUACUACUCCAUGCCCACCGGAACGGCUAAAAUUAAAGAGACUGAGCACAGCAAGUGCUGGGAGACUGCUGAGCAAUUGGACCUCUCACACACUGCUGUCAUUGGAAAUUUUGCAAAUGAUUCCUAGGUCAUCCAACUGCUCAUCUACACCAACAGGAUGCUGUGUGGUCACAAUCUUUCCUCCCUUGAAAGCCUGGGGCUUUGUCCCCUCUGGAGUCCUUCCCUACGCAAGUUUCCAAAGCAUUAACUAACUUCCUGGAGCACGAGAGAAAGCUCUGUGCCGAGUACUACAAACCCACCAAGUUAAUUAAAACCUACAUUCACCAUCCAUCUGUUUUUUUGUUCCAUGUAUUUUUGACAACUCACCGUUGAUUUUGGAAACUGCC